GGCUCAGAACGAACGCUGCGGGCAGGCCUCAUACAUGCAAGUCGAGCGGUAAGGUCCCGCAAGGGACCCUAGAGCGGCGAACGGGUGAGUAACAGGUGGAUAAUCUGCCUUUGGGUGUGGGAUAACGGCUGGAAACGGCCGCUAAUACCGCAUGAGGUUGUUUGGGCUAUGGCCCGGACAAAGAAAGGCGCCGCAAGGCGCCGCCCGAAGAUGAGUCCGCCCCCCAUUAGCUAGUUGGCGAGAUAAUAGCUCACCAAGGCGACGAUGGGUAGCCGAGCUGAGAGGUUGAUCGGCCACACUGGAACUGAGACACGGUCCAGACACCUACGGGUGGCAGCAGUAGGGAAUAUUGCGCAAUGAGCGAAAGCUUGACGCAGCCAUGCCGCGUGAGUGAUGAAGGCCUUCGGGUCGUAAAGCUCUUUUCUGAGGGAAGAACGGCCGGUGCAGGCAAUGGCACCGGAUCGACGGUACCUCAGGAAUAAGGAACGGCUAACUCCGUGCCAGCAGCCGCGGUAAUACGGAGGUUCCAAGCGUUGUUCGGAAUUACUGGGCGUAAAGGGAGCGCAGGUGGGCGGUCCAGUCCAAAGUGGAAGCCCGGGGCUUAACCCCGGAAGUGCUUUGGAUACUAGCCGUCUUGAGUACGCGAGAGGAAGGCGGAAUUCAGGGUGUAGCGGUGAAAUGCUUAGAUAUCCUGAGGAACACCGGUGGCGAAAGCGGCCUUCUGGCGCGAAACUGACACUGAGGCUCGAAAGCGUGGGGAGCAAACGGGAUUAGAUACCCCGGUAGUCCACGCCGUAAACGUUGUGCACUAGGUGUGGGAGGUAUCGACCCCUUCCGUGCCGCAGCUAACGCAUUAAGUGCACCGCCUGGGGAGUACGGUCGCAAGACUGAAACU
rnacentral:rRNA from 1 species